GCUUGAUAAAUCUGCUUUGCUGUUAUUGUAACAACAGUGUUAGCAGGAAAACCUUGGUGGAAUUUUCUUUUUGAAAAACAGAGCUCAUGGCAUUAAUCUAGCCUGACUUUGUACAUCUCUGAGUUAAGCAGUUGGCCUAUCUAUUUUCCUAGGCUUCCUCUGGAGAGGUGGAGGCAGCCACAAAGGUGAUUCAUCUCAGAUCCUUAUCAUGGGAUGGGAUGGGAUGUGUGACACUGCAGGAGCCUAGCCCAGCGAGGUUAGAGCACAUCACUCACUUGUAGAAGUGUUCUGUGAGGAAGAACAAGGAGCAUCAAAACGAGGAACAAGAACAAGGAAUAUUAAAAUGAGGUUCACUGGGUAUGACUCGUGGUGAUCAGCCCAGGUCCUGGCAAAGAUCCCCAAGACUCUGCUGUCCAGAAUUAUCCCAAAUAUGAAUCCUUGAGUGCUCUUAGCAUCUGCUCCAGACCAGCAUCUCUUAGCACAGCUCUUAAACCUUGUCAGCUGGAACAUCUCUGGAAGCAUCCAAGGUCAGGCUGGAUGGGCCUUUGAACAACCUGAUGAAGCAGAAGCUAUCCCUGGAUCUGUGUGUAUGACAGUUCUGAAGGUGGCUUAUGGAAGCGUGGCUUGGCAGUGUGAUAAACAACCAUCAGAGGACAGCUUCUCCCAGCCGGUGUCGGGCACACCUUGCCGUGCUCAGCUCUCUGGACUCCUCAGCUGAGCAUUUAGUGAGCAGCACAUCAAACUCUUUGCUCAGCUGCUUCAGGUCAUUUGCAGUAAUUCUGCUUCCUUCCUUGGGAUGCACUUCUUCCUCUUCAAGGUGUGAGCCACAGAGAGAGAGAGAGAGAGCAGCAAUCCCUGCUGGAAAUGGCUUGGGAAUACCGGGGAGGAAGCAGGAGCAUUGGUGAGAUUUUGAGGACGGAAGAGUGAAAGAUGAAGUGCUAAAUCUGAGACUGUGGCUGCUAAAAUGAGCUGCUGAACACCAGAGAGCAAGAAUUACUGCAUUUCCUGAGAGUGCUGCAGAACCUCUGAGCCUUUUAUUUCCAGUAGUAGAAACCCACAUGGGUCUCAGGAAGUGUUAAAAUGACAGGUUUUGAAAGAACAGUUUACCAUCAAGGCAAAAAAUAUAUUUUAUAUGUAUAAAAUAGGUAUCUUAUGCUCUGUGUUUAUCUGUUUUCCCCAUUCCAGGUCCCCUGAGCAGAUAAUGCUGCAGUCUCAGCUCCCUCUCCCUCCACCCUGGCUGCUGUGCUGAACAUCAUUUCAAAAGAGCACAGCUGGGUGCUGGACUGUAAUUUCUCAUGCAGCUCAGAUCAAGUCCAUUAGUUUAUUUGAAGGUUAGGACCAAGACCAUGGAGGUGCACGAGGAGCUAAUAGACAGACCGGUGUUCCUGCUGUGCUCACGGGGGCUUAAACCAGGGAGAAAAUAGUCAGGCACAUCCAUAUUAUUUUCACCUUUUGCUUCACCAUUUGCAGCAGUCUCAUUCAUAAAUGACAAAGAAACAGCUCCCUGCUGUGAGGUCCUCAUACCACAGAGAGCUGUAAUGAGUUUGUAACGAGAUGGAGAUAAGGAAGGUUUUUUUGUGAUUACUCAGACAAAUCUCUGAGUGCAAAUCAGAGGGGUAUGUCUUUCCAUCACUCUCCAUGGCUUAAACAUCUGAGGAUAGUUAAGGAAUUCUCAUGGCAUUUUGUAAGAAGAACUCAGUAAGACAAAAAUGUUCUAAAUGCAUCUUUAUGGAUUUCUUGCCUUCAUUGUAUGUCAGAAUCUUUUGUAAUUUGACAGCCACCAGCAGUGAUUAAUGGCUGGCAAUAUGGCUGGGGGCAAUGUGUGUCUCAAAGUCAGUAUCAGGGAAGCCUCUGUGAUCUGGGAAGUCUUUGGCUCUGGAACUGUCUCCUUGCAAAAUCAGAAACAAGUGUUUUGCCUGUGUGCUCCGUGAAGAGCUCCAAAUAAAUAGCUGGAAUAUUAAUGAAGAUGAGAGUGAAAAACAGGGAAAUAUUCACCUUGGAGUGUGGUGCUAAUCUGAGAUUUAAGGGUUGUUUCUGUUUCAG